UACGUAGGGUGCGAGCGUUAAUCGGAAUUACUGGGCGUAAAGCGUGCGCAGGCGGUUUUGUAAGCCAGAUGUGAAAUCCCCGGGCUCAACCUGGGAAUGGCAUUUGGGACUGCAAGGCUUGAGUGCGGCAGAGGAGACUGGAAUUUCUGGUGUAGCAGUGAAAUGCGCAGAUAUCGGGAGGAACACCAGUGGCGAAGGCGGCACUCUGGGCCGGUACUGACGCUGAGGAGCGAAAGCGUGGGGAGCGAACAGG
rnacentral:rRNA from 1 species